UGGGGAAUAUUGCACAAUGGGCGCAAGCCUGAUGCAGCAACGCCGCGUGAGGGACGACGGCCUUCGGGUUGUAAACCUCUUUUAGUAGGGAAGAAGCGAAAGUGACGGUACCUGCAGAAAAAGCACCGGCUAACUACGUGCCAGCAGCCGCGGUAAUACGUAGGGUGCGAGCGUUGUCCGGAAUUAUUGGGCGUAAAGAGCUCGUAGGCGGUCUGUCGCGUCUGCUGUGAAAACCCGAGGCUCAACCUCGGGCCCUGCAGUGGGUACGGGCAGACUAGAGUGCGGUAGGGGAGAAUGGAAUUCCUGGUGUAGCGGUGGAAUGCGCAGAUAUCAGGAGGAACACCGAUGGCGAAGGCAGUUCUCUGGGCCGUAACUGACGCUGAGGAGCGAAAGCGUGGGGAGCGAACAGGAUUAGAUACCCUGGUAGUCCACGCCGUAAACGUUGGGCGCUAGAUGUGGGGACCAUUCCACGGUUUCCGUGUCGCAGCUAACGCAUUAAGCGCCCCGCCUGGGGAGUACGGCCGCAAGGCUAAAACUCAAAGGAAUUGACGGGGUCAUAGCUGUUUCCU
rnacentral:rRNA from 1 species